GAAACUGGGUGUGGGCCCAGGGUCCAGGCUGACCUUGGACUAGGUGCUGCAGGAGGAGGGGGCCUCCCGCGGCCUCAACCUCAGAACACUACAGACCCGCAAGGCCCCUACCUGCCCGUCGAUGCAGCGAGCAGACCCCACAGUUUCUCCCGGCCUGUUCCCCAGUCCCUGACCCCCACCCCCCGUGGUUGAGGGUGCCCCUUUCCCUUUGGUAGACCCUGGGGGAGCCAAGCUGGUCCCAGACAGGAACUUCCUCCUUGGGGACUCCCAGCUGCCCUACCUACUCCCCCCCCCACCCCCCCAAUCCUUGGGUUCAAUGUUUACUUUCUCAUUCGGAUGCCAGCAACGAUGGAGCCUCCCAGGGUGUCCCCAGUGCGGUGGGGGCGCUGGGAAGGGUGUUUCCACUCUCGGCAGCCUUGGCCCUGCCCAGGUGUAGAGGGUGCCAGGGCCCUGAGGGCCUCCCCCAAGCCCUGCCAUUACGGGUUUGUCCGACCGUACGCAUGUGACAUUUUUUGUUGUUGAUAAGCUUCGCCCCAUUACCCUAACCCCCACACCCAUGUCACCCUGCUGGAGGCCCCCACCCAGGAGGCCAGGGCGUAUUUAUUUCCAUAGCGAGCAGGUUGUUUCUCCUAGAGAAAGGAAGAUGGUCUUGGAAAUGAUAUUAAAAUUCAGAUCUCCAUCUUGGACAGCUCCUGCCCCCACCCCACCCCAUCCUCUUCAGGGUUAAUUUCCAUGAAUUUUUUUUUUUCUCGUGUAUAAAAUCAAACUGAAGGGAAGAAAAUUAUUAUUUUGGCGUUCCGAACCAAUCCCUGUAGAUAGACUGCCAUAACAGACUACUUUUUUCUUGGGAACUUUGUUUCUUGUAGAAACAAGUGGGAAGACUUUUUUUUUCCUUCUCUCAUUUCUUUGUACUU
rnacentral:lncRNA from 1 species